rnacentral:rRNA from 1 species
GACAGAGGGUGCAAACGUUGUUCGGAAUUACUGGGCGUAAAGCGCGUGUAGGCGGCUAAGUAAGUCGGGCGUGAAAUCCCACGGCUCAACCGUGGAAGUGCACUCGAAACUGCAUAGCUAGAGUCCUGGAGAGGAAGGUGGAAUGCUUGGUGUAGAGGUGAAAUCGUAGAUAUCAAGCGGAACACCGGUGGCGAAGGCGGCCUUCUGGACAGUGACUGACGCUGAGACGGCGAA